GCUCCGGUGGCCUAGUGGUUUGAAUGUCCGCCUCGGAGGUGGGAGUUCGCGGGUUAGAACCCCGGCCGAGUCA